GACGAACGCUGGCGGCGUGCUUAACACAUGCAAGUCGAACGGAAAGGCCCUGCUUUUGUGGGGUGCUCGAGUGGCGAACGGGUGAGUAACACGUGAGUAACCUGCCCUUGACUUUGGGAUAACUUCAGGAAACUGGGGCUAAUACCGGAUAGGAGCUCCUGCUGCAUGGUGGGGGUUGGAAAGUUUCGGCGGUUGGGGAUGGACUCGCGGCUUAUCAGCUUGUUGGUGGGGUAGUGGCUUACCAAGGCUUUGACGGGUAGCCGGCCUGAGAGGGUGACCGGCCACAUUGGGACUGAGAUACGGCCCAGACUCCUACGGGAGGCAGCAGUGGGGAAUAUUGCACAAUGGGCGGAAGCCUGAUGCAGCAACGCCGCGUGCGGGAUGACGGCCUUCGGGUUGUAAACCGCUUUCGCCUGUGACGAAGCGUGAGUGACGGUAAUGGGUAAAGAAGCACCGGCUAACUACGUGCCAGCAGCCGCGGUGAUACGUAGGGUGCGAGCGUUGUCCGGAUUUAUUGGGCGUAAAGGGCUCGUAGGUGGUUGAUCGCGUCGGAAGUGUAAUCUUGGGGCUUAACCCUGAGCGUGCUUUCGAUACGGGUUGACUUGAGGAAGAUAGGGGAGAAUGGAAUUCCUGGUGGAGCGGUGGAAUGCGCAGAUAUCAGGAGGAACACCAGUGGCGAAGGCGGUUCUCUGGGCCUUUCCUGACGCUGAGGAGCGAAAGCGUGGGGAGCGAACAGGCUUAGAUACCCUGGUAGUCCACGCUGUAAACGGUGGGUACUAGGUGUGGGGUCCAUUCCACGGGUUCCGUGCCGUAGCUAACGCUUUAAGUACCCCGCCUGGGGAGUACGGCCGCAAGGCUAAAACUCAAAGGAAUUGACGGGGCCCCGCACAAGCGGCGGAGCAUGCGGAUUAAUUCGAUGCAACGCGUAGAACCUUACCUGGGUUUGACAUGGAUCGGGAGUGCUCAGAGAUGGGUGUGCCUCUUUUGGGGUCGGUUCACAGGUGGUGCAUGGCUGUCGUCAGCUCGUGUCGUGAGAUGUUGGGUUAAGUCCCGCAACGAGCGCAACCCUUGUUCACUGUUGCCAGCACGUUAUGGUGGGGACUCAGUGGAGACCGCCGGGGUCAACUCGGAGGAAGGUGGGGAUGACGUCAAGUCAUCAUGCCCCUUAUGUCCAGGGCUUCACGCAUGCUACAAUGGCUGGUACAGAGAGUGGCGAGCCUGUGAGGGUGAGCGAAUCUCGGAAAGCCGGUCUCAGUUCGGAUUGGGGUCUGCAACUCGACCUCAUGAAGUCGGAGUCGCUAGUAAUCGCAGAUCAGCAACGCUGCGGUGAAUACGUUCCCGGGGCU
rnacentral:rRNA from 1 species